AGUUCAGCAUCACUACAUUGACCUCCUGGGAGUGGGGGACCACCAGGUUGCCUAAGGAGGGGUGAACCAGCCCAGGUUGGAAAUGGAGCAGGUCAAAACUCCCGUGCUGAUCGG
rnacentral:SRP_RNA from 1 species